ACCCCAGCGGCAGUUUAACUUCAAACACCACCAGAUACAUGGCCGCAUGGUAGGCUGCAGCUGCACUAGCCACCCUGUACUGCAUAGUGUCUCAGCGCUCCACGUGACAGCACACCGCUUGAUGUCCUAUGUGCCGACCUCACCACCUCAAUCUUAUGCAGCAGAGUGUGAACUCAUCUCCAUGAGGGCAGCCCAGACAGCCGAGUGACUGAUCCUGCAGUGCUGCUGACUGGUGAUCGGGAUGUCAGGUCCUGCUGGCUGCUACUGAUCACCAAGCCUCAGAUAGUGCUCCCAUAAAAGGUUACUGGCUUCAAAGAGAAAGAUUCUCAAAGAGAAAGAGACAGGAUAAAACAAGAACGUGUGAGGAAAGAUGAAGACACAGCUCAACAAAGAGAAAAUAAAGAACAAGUACAAUAAAAUGAUUUAAACACUCAAA